AAGUCCUUUUUGUAAACUGUAAUAACAUCAUCUUGGUCAUUUACAUCCAGACAUCGCUUCUGCUUGAGUUUACAGGUCACAGGUGACACUUGGUGUUCUUUGAUUGGCUGUGAAUGACGCAAUAACUUCUAUUUCGGUAUUCUCCUCCCACACAUUUUAUCAUCAGUCCUCUCACCUGUACAGAUAAACACAAAUCACCUGCAUGAUAACUUCGUGACUAACUUUCUCUCGGGCCUUCUCUUUUGAGUUAGUGGUUCUAGAGAUUGCCUUGGAGAUUGUGGUACUUCAAUCUCCAAUGCGAGGUCUGGUGGAUCAUCUACACCUGGAGUUGAUUGUCGAGAUGAUCAUGUUAGUCGAGGUGCAUCAGGAAGUGGGCAGGUUACAUCUUUACAUUUGUAUCUGCAAA